ACAGUAGAAAUGAGAAUAUAAUCUCUAGAAAUUAAAAUAAGAAGUCAAUUAAAAAGAAAACUUAUAUAAAAUAAAAAUCAAGUAUUGAGCGAAAUAAAUAUGAGAGAUAGCUCAGGAACGUCUAAUCUACUUAGUUAUUUUAAUUGAAACACUUGCGUUAGAUGUGCGUUAGUCAAAAAAAAAAAAAAAAAUAGCUAUUAAGUAUAGAAACACAGAAGGCAACCAGGCCUACGCCUCUCCAAAGAGCAGUCCGCCAUGAGAAGCGUUAGAACCGAUGCAGCGCUCUCCCGUCGUUUCUUCAAAGUGCAGUCCGCCACGAGAAACGCCGGAAAUGACGCCGUUUUUUUUUGUUUUCCUCUCAUACUUCCUAUAUCCGAAAAGACAUCGAAUAAAUAGAUCAAAGGGAGAUAAGGAAUCGGGAAACAAAUCAUCAAAAAAAAAAAAUCCAGAACAAAUAAUCAAAAUAAAUACAGUAGACACCGCUCUCCAUAAUAUAAACUUAAGGAAGUAGAAUCAACAGGUCAAACUCUACAACGAGAGAUUCGGAGGCGAUCGGCCAACACCCCCUCUGACUUGCGCUGUUGGGAGGAGCCGCUCAUAUUAUCGUAACGAUUAAAAUGAUUAUACAAUGUAAUAAUAUGAAAGUAGAUAACAUUUUAUUAUAUAUAUAUCUAAUCAUCAAACCAUAUAUAUAUAUAUUUUCAAACAGAAAUUAUAC
rnacentral:lncRNA from 1 species